rnacentral:rRNA from 1 species
GAUGAACGCUGGCGGCGUGCCUAAUACAUGCAAGUCGAGCGAACAGACGAGGAGCUUGCUCCUCUGACGUUAGCGGCGGACGGGUGAGUAACACGUGGAUAACCUACCUAUAAGACUGGGAUAACUUCGGGAAACCGGAGCUAAUACCGGAUAAUAUAUUGAACCGCAUGGUUCAAUAGUGAAAGACGGUUUUGCUGUCACUUAUAGAUGGAUCCGCGCCGCAUUAGCUAGUUGGUAAGGUAACGGCUUACCAAGGCGACGAUGCGUAGCCGACCUGAGAGGGUGAUCGGCCACACUGGAACUGAGACACGGUCCAGACUCCUACGGGAGGCAGCAGUAGGGAAUCUUCCGCAAUGGGCGAAAGCCUGACGGAGCAACGCCGCGGGAGUGAUGAAGGUCUUCGGAUCGUAAAACUCUGUUAUUAGGGAAGAACAAAUGUGUAAGUAACUAUGCACGUCUGGACGGUACCUAAUCAGAAAGCCACGGCUAACUACGU